UGCAGUCGGACGGUAGCACAGAGAGACUUGCGUCUUGGGUGACGAGAGGGGGACGGGUGAGUAAUGUCUGGGGAUCUGCCCGAUAGAGGGGGAUAACCACUGGAAACGGUGGCUAAUACCGCAUAACGUCGCAAGACCAAAGAGGGGGACCUUCGGGCCUCUCACUAUCGGAUGAACCCCGAUGGGAUUAGCUAGUAGGCGGGGUAAUGGCCCACCUAGGCGACGAUCCCUAGCUGGUCUGAGAGGAUGACCAGCCACACUGGAACUGAGACACGGUCCAGACUCCUACGGGAGGCAGCAGUGGGGAAUAUUGCACAAUGUGCGCAAGCCUGAUGCAGCCAUGCCGCGUGUAUGAAGAAGGCCUUCGGGUUGUAAAGUACUUUCAGCGGGGAGAGAGGCGACGGGGUUAAUAACCCUGUCGAUUGACGUUA
rnacentral:rRNA from 1 species